CCCUUAGACGUUCUGGGCCGCACGCGCGCUACACUGACCAGUGCAACAAGCAUCCGUCCUUGGCCGACAGGCUCGGGCAAUCUUUGAACGCUGGUCGUGAUGGGGAUAGACUUUUGCAAUUUUUGGUCUUCAACGAGGAAUUCCUAGUAAACGCAAGUCAUCAACUUGCAUUGAUUACGUCCCUGCCCUUUGUACACACCGCCCGUCGCACCUACCGAUUGAAUGGUCCGGUGAAGCCUCCGGAUUGGCGCGCACCUCGGUGCCGCCGAGAAGUUGGCUAAACCUUACCAUUUAGAGGAAGGUGAGNUCGUANCA
rnacentral:rRNA from 1 species